AGUGGCAGAGCGCGGCUGGCCGCGGUGCGUGGCCAGGAGCGGUCGCCUAGGGGCUGCACCGCCGCUCGCACAGGACACCGGACACCCAGCCACGGGCACCCGACGGCGUUGCUCUGCGUUCCUCUCACUGCGGCCCGCGCCCUGCCAGCCACCUACGCUCGGUCCCCGCGCAUCCCGGGCUUCCGAUGGCCCCCGAGGCCAGGGCGUCCCCGCGCCUGCUGCUCAGGGCGGCACUGCUGCUCCUGGCGGCGCUGCUACCGGUGGCUACCUCAGCAGGACCCCCAGGUACGCGCACGCCUGACUCUGCGGUCGGCUAGGCUGUCCUCUGCCCACCCGCUUGUCACUCUGGGGGACCACUGUCCCACACUGGCUCUGUGUUGCCCGCGUGCGUGUCUUGUCACUAACCUGUGCAUCCUCGUGAGUGGAGUCAGGGCGUGCUAGGUGUGGGCACUAGGCACUCUGAGUAUGGGAGAAGUGUGGACACGGAACACACAAGAGAACUGGGGACUGAAACUUGUCUAAGUGCCCUGGAGAUCCAGGCAAAGGAAAGGAGAAGUGACUUUGGGCAUCGCACUGGGGGUGGGGGUGGGAGUCUGGGGGGGAUAGAAGUCGGGGGGGGGGGCACUCUCUUUGGUCAGACUCUCCUCCGGGUUGAGGGUGAGCAUCUUUCUGUCAUCUUCUUCACCUGUCUCGAUGUUGGAUAAGGUCACUGAGGGAACUCAGAUGGAAACUGAGGGGCAGGACUGUACUCCAGGACCAGCAGCAACUGAAGUCCUAAGCUUGGGAACUUUGCAGCUGGAAGAAGACAUUUGUCUUUCGAGGAGGGAGAGGGAAGUGGGACCGUCAGUGAGUUCCAGAGAGCCUAACCCACUCCAAAGGCCAGGCUGCAGCCUGGAUGGACACUUGCUUUGCACAAGAGGCUUAGCUGACUCUGCUUUCUUGCGUGUUUCACCAGCGUCCAGAUGGUUACACAGUAGUGGGCUUUCACGCCUAUGUCCUUGGCGUCUUCGUGUCUAGCAUGCAUGCAUUUCCACACUUGGAAACCAUGACUUUUGUUUAUGGCAUCAAUUUGUAGGAACCUGAAAAGUGGACUCCCCUUCCCCUUUCUGGUAUUAUUCAGUGGCAGCAGGGCUGAAAACAACAAAACAAAACAAACUUCUUUUCCAACAGGGGCCACUAGUUUUGCAUGCUGGUGUCUGUAUUGCGCUCCCCAUAAGGAUAAAGGGAGAGCGCUUGGUGACCUCUUGGUAGUAUCGGGUGCUACGUAUUCUGGUGUUGAGUUCCCUUUUUCUAAAAGGGUCAUACAGAAGUAGGGGUCCUUUCUCUUCCAUUUAUGAUCUCAAGGCAAGUAUUCCCUUCAUAUUUUAUACAAUGUCUGACAGAAUAAAUCUCUUCUAGCCUCCCAGCUUCCCCACCUACAAUCCAAAGGCUUCGUUCUUUCUAAGCUCAAGUGUUCCACUCUUUCCAGUGAAAGGGUUCUUGUUACAGAAAGCGAUCUGAGAGUGGGGGCCUUGGAAAGUGAGCUUUGUGGUGGUUCCAGCCUCCUUUCUUCCCGUGUCCAUGGUCACCUUAGGAUGGGUUCUGCUUGUGAACGUGGGAAGGCAGGGCUUGUCGUGCUCCUCAUGGGCUCGACAGCAUUGUCAGCUGCACUUUCUUUGGCUCUCUGCUCUGCAAAUCACUGCACUGUGGAAUGUUGGAACUGGGCGGCUUGUUGGCACUUCUCUCUACUGUGUUGACGUGGGAUCUGCAGUGAAAUGAUGACCAGACUGGAAACGGACAGAGGAGACAAGCGCAUUUCCAAGUGCCUAUUUACUGUACUUAAGUUCAAUUAGGGAAGGGAAGAAGUGGACAUAGCAGCCUGCAGAAGGCUCCUGUGUCAGGGAAGAAAUCACGAAGCAGCAUGUAAUUUAUUCCAUGGGCUCCUUGAGGAGCCUUCCUGUCUGUCUGUCUUGCCAUUCCCAGUUGCAGCAGCUGCUUGGAUUUGCGUCUAGUGGGGCAAAGCCACGGGCAGACGUAACUCAUGCUUCCUGCAAGUGGCUACUGUCAGCCCCAUUCCUCCUCUUUUGGGUCCAGCAUUUCUGGUAAGGCAAAUUACCCAGAGCUACGCUGACAGUUAGCACACUGUUGCAGCGCUAGAGGUGUUAUUCUUCUUCCAGCACACCUGGAAGAUCCCUGCAACUCAGGACAGAUUAAAACAGAGCAAAGUAAGCAGGUGAUGCCCCUCCCCCACCGCACCCAUUCCUGCCAUAGGCUACUAGGCAAACAUUAAAGAACAGGGGUGCUCCCAGUCUGAAGGCCUGAAACCAUCUAUGCGUUUACAGUAGACACUCAGGGAGGGCUAGGGAUCAUCUCUAUUUUCUUCUUUAAAGCUAAAGAGCUUUUUAAUGAAUCUGCAAGGCCAAAGUCAUUCUCAAAGUGAUAUGAGUUCAGUCCCAGCCUCUUUCCUGGGUUGAUGUUCACAUGAGUGAACAAAAGCUUACUGGGUAAUAAAUGGUAUCUGACAGGGUCCACCGCUUGGAGCCUGAAAAUACUAAGAGUUUAACCCCAGGGAUAAGCACCUGCGGGACUCCCAGUCAGCACUCGAAUGACUUGCUUUAUAAGAAGAAUGCGGUAUUUACUCUAAAAAAAAAAAAUCUACAGACAAACUAUAGUUGCCUACUUGGAUAACUCUCACAAUUUUUUUCCCUCCAGAAAUGAGCAAACUGAGCCUGAUAUCUCUCGUUAAGUAACUGCACAAAUUUCUUGUCAGUGAUGCAACUUGAAUUUCUUUCU
rnacentral:lncRNA from 1 species